UUUGGGGGCGGUGUUUACAGACUGGACCGGUCCUCUCCGUCGCUGCCCUGCUCUUAGCUGGGUUUCCGAGCCUCUUGAAGAAGUGUUCCAACUAGAUUGGGGGGGGGGGGACAAAAACGAAAACGCAACGCGGGAAGCCCCCGCCACCAGUCCAUCGCUGGCAGUGGCUGCAUUGCUGGUCCACACAGCAGCCAAGAGCAGCUCCACAUUCUCUCCCCUCUUCCUCCUCCCCAGUUCACUGGAGCCGGGAGCCCUGCGCGCAGGGGAAGGGCCUCAGCUCUACACACUGCCAAAGUCGGCUGGGUCCCUCCGCUCCAAAAAUGGUGAGAAGGGAGCUCAUCUUUUUUUCACUGAGGAGCCAGAAGCAG
rnacentral:lncRNA from 1 species